UUCAAUUCAAGAGAAUCCAAAUGAGUUUGAGGCUUGCAGCGAAUCCAGGCACAAAUUUCUUCACCUAGUCUUUCAUCGGGAACACCAACCACCUUGAUCCACACCACACAAUCAAAAAAUUUCUUCAAUUCAAGAGAAUCCAAAUGAGUUUGAGGCUUGCAGCGAAUCCAGGCACAAAUUUCUUCCCCUAGUCUUUCAUCGGGAACCCCAACCACCUUGAUCCACACCACACAAUCAAAAGGUUUACUGCUUCCG